UGCCUCGGGAAUUCAAACUUUAACCACUCAAAAUGUUCUACUUUUUACAUUAAAUAGCAAUAUUAUUAUCAACAUACUGUCACCUUAUUUGUCAUCUUAGAUCCCUUAUUAAGUGCCUUUUUUUCCUCCGCUACUUGACCACUCCCCCAAUCAAUAAUUAGUAGCCUAUAUGUUAUUAUACUUAUCUAGACCCAUAACCUACCGCAUUUCAAACCCCACCCAUGAAUUGUGUUAUGCCGCACAUGUCAAAGGCCAGCGCGCGCCAGUCUGUGCAUCUAAUGGAAGCCGAUGGUCCGAUUCAGCUCCAGGGAAGCAUAUUUAAUUUAAUCUUAGACAGUUAGUUUAAAGCUUAGUCUGUUGCCUCUGAGGAUAAGCUACAAGAUAACGGGAAUCGCGUCAUGGACGUUCAAGUUCGUUUUCAUUCUGUCGACCCAGGACUUGAACUUUCCCCAACGCGGACAGGGUCAUGUCUUCAGGAGAGUCAGCAGCCCCUGCUGGAUCCACAACCGCUAGAUGACCCGGACCAGGGAACCAGGACCAGGGAAGACGUUGGACGGCAUGUCCAGCUACAGCCUGAGCCCCAGCCACGACCCUCCCUGAGUCAUUCCUUAUCCUGGAGCUCCUCCCUGACGAGCAGCCUUCACACUGGAGACACUGGGACGGAUCAAGACUCAGGCAUGCACACCAGCAUCAGCGAGAUCUUAAAGGAGAAGACACUGAAGCCGUCCCGGCGCAGUCUGCCCUGCCUGGCCCAGAGUCAGACACACCCACAGAACCUCAACCAUUGCCUGUCCAUGCCCCUCAGCCCGGACGACAAGCCCGAGACACACCCACAGGACCGUCUGCAGUCAGAGCCUCAACUCCAGCACCCGACUGGACCUCGGCUGCAGCCCCAGAACCAGCUAGCCAAGCCCUGGCUACAGAACCAGGCCCUGGCCCCGGACCACUGUCAGCUUCAGGCCCAGAACCAGCCCCUAACCCACAGCCACAGCACCUCCUGCACUCUCAUUUCCUCCAAAAUAGCAGAGGCUGCGAAAGACCGUUAUGCCGAGGAGUCGGAGGUCAGCGCCGCGUACGAGGCAGGGAGGACGGAUGAGUCGGAGGUCAGCGCCGCGUACGAGGCAGGGAGGACGGAUGAGUCAGAGGUCAGCGCCGCGUAUGAAGCAGGGAGGACGGAUGAGUCGUUUCUCAUUCAGAAACCUGCCAGCCGAGCCAGAUUACAAGCACGCACAGACUCGCUUCAGGGAUCCAACCAGGGUCAACCGUCUGUCCUGCUGUUCCGAGAUGGGAAGAAGAGGAUCGAUUACAUCCUGGUCUACAAGAAGUCCAGUCCUCUGGUGGAGAAGAGAGUCACCUUCGAGAGGAACCUGAGGGCAGAGGGUCUCAUGCUGGAGAAAGAGCCCUCGUUGACCAACACUGACAUCAUGUUUGUGAAGAUCCACGCUCCCUGGGAAACGCUCUGCAAAUACGCUGAGCAGAUGAACAUCAGGAUGCCCUUCAGAAAGAAAUGCUAUUUUACGGAUUGGAAGAGUAAGACCAUGGGCAGCCGGUUCCAUUUGCGGUGUCGUCAGAUAAAGAGCUGGUUACCCAAGAACCCUAUGAAGCUGGACAAAGAGGCCUUACCCGAUCUGGAGGAGACAGACUGCUACACAGCCCCCUUCAGCAGGGCACGCAUGCACCAUUUUACCAUCAACAACAGAGAGACGUUCUUCUCCAACUCCACCAGAAGCAGAAUAGUCCAUCAUGUUCUCCAGCGCACCAAGUAUGAGGAUGGCAAGUCUAAGAUGGGUAUCAACAGGUUACUGGGCAAUGGGACGUAUGAGGCAGCAUUUCCUCCACAUGAGGGUGGAUACAACAGCAGACAUCCUAUUAAGACCCAUGGUGCCCAGAACCACAGACAUCUGCUGUACGAGAGAUGGGCUCGCUGGGGAAUGUGGUACAAAUACCAGCCUCUCGACCUUAUCAGGCGCUACUUUGGGGAGAAAAUCGGGCUGUACUUUGCUUGGCUGGGCUGGUACACGGGCAUGCUGAUACCUGCUGCGCUGGUCGGACUCUUGGUCUUCCUCUACGGGUUCAUCACCAUGGACACCAGCCAAGUCAGCAGGGAGAUCUGUGAGGCCAACACAACCAUUAUGUGUCCUAUGUGCGAGGAGAGCUGCCACCCCUGGAAACUCAGUGACAGCUGUGUCUAUGCAAAGGUGACCCAUCUCUUCGACAAUGGAGGAACUGUGUUCUUCGCUAUUUUCAUGGCUAUAUGGGCCACAGUGUUCUUGGAGUUCUGGAAGCGGAGGCGGGCGGAGCUGACCUAUGACUGGGAUCUCAUCGACUGGGAGGAGGAAGAGGAGAAUCUGCGGCCCCAGUUCGAAGCCAAGUACUCCCGUGUAGAGAGGGUGAACCCAAUCUCAGGCAAGCCGGAGCCCUUCCAGCCCUUUUCUGAUAAACUGAGCAGACUCAUGGUCUCUGUCUCUGGGAUCUUCUUCAUGAUCUCCCUGGUCCUGACGGCGGUGUUUGCGGUGGUGGUGUUCCGUCUCAUUGCCAUGGAGAAGUUUGCGUCAUUCGAAUGGGAGUUUGUGAAAAAGAACUGGCAGUUUGCCACGUCGGGAACUGGCGUCUGCAUCAACUUCAUGAUCAUCAUGUCCCUCAAUGUGGUAUAUGAAAAGGUGGCCUAUCUCCUCACCAAUCUAGAACACCCCCGGACCGAGUCAGAGUGGGAGAACAGCUUUGCUCUUAAGAUGUUUCUCUUCCAGUUUGUUAACUUGAACAGCUCCACCUUCUACAUUGCUUUCUUCCUGGGAAGGUUUGCCGGCAGACCAGGAAAAUAUAAUAAACUCUUCAAUAGGUGGAGACUGGAGGAGUGCCACCCGAGUGGCUGCCUCAUCGACCUCUGUCUGCAGAUGGGGGUUAUCAUGGUGCUGAAACAGAUCUGGAACAACUUCAUGGAGUUGGGUUAUCCGCUACUACAGAACUGGUGGUCUCGGCGGAAAAUCAAGCAAACUGAGAGGAAGGAAAGGAAAGGAGAGGGAGAGAAUGUGGAGAACAAAGUGCAGCUUCCUCAGUGGGACAAAGACUGGAACCUGCAGCCUAUGAACGCCCACGGACUAGUGGAUGAGUACCUGGAGAUGGUUCUGCAGUUUGGUUUCACCACCAUUUUCGUAGCUGCAUUCCCAUUGGCUCCUCUGCUUGCACUGCUCAACAACAUCAUCGAGAUCCGGCUGGAUGCCUACAAGUUCGUCACUCAGUGGAGGAGGCCAAUGCCUGCCCGAGCUACAGACAUAGGGAUCUGGCACGGCAUCCUGGAGGGCAUUGGCGUGUUGGCCGUCAUCACCAACGCCUUUGUCAUCGCCAUCACGUCCGACUACAUCCCCCGCUUCGUCUACGCCUUCAAAUACGGACCGUGCGUGGACAAGGGGUACCACCACGAGAAGUGCUUGCGCGGCUACAUGAACAGCAGCCUGUCUGUGUUUGACAUGGAGAAGAUCUGGAACGUCAGCGCCGGGCAGAGCAGGUACUGCCGUUACCGGGACUACAGAGCUCCGCCCUGGAGCCCCGUACCCUACGACUUCACGCUGCAGUUUUGGCACGUCCUGGCUGCAAGACUGGCCUUCAUCAUCGUCUUCGAGCACCUCGUCUUUGGCAUCAAGUCGUUUAUCGCGUAUCUAAUCCCGGACAUGCCGAAAGACCUGUGUGAUCGCAUGCGGCGGGAGAAGUACCUGAUGCAGGAGAUGAUGUACGAAGCGGAGCUGGAGCACCUCCAGCAGGAACGGAAGAAGAACGGCCGGAGAUGUCACCACGAGUGGCCUUAGUGUGGAUCGCGUAAUGUCCCCAUUAAUGCGUGCAGUCGUUACGUUGUGUCCCUGUUAUACGUACAGACGGACAUUCCCCCUUCCAGUCAAUGACCCGAGGCAGGUCGGACCGCCGUGACCGCACCGCUGGUGUCGCUGUGGUCCAAGGGGUGUCACUGUCUGUCCAUUUCUAUGUCAUUCUAUUUCUGUGUGGCAGCUAGCCUAGCAGCCUGCUAUUACGUUUCAUACUCUGGGUGCUGCUCGCCACGUGGCUGUAGUUUGGCCUGCGUUAAUGUCUGACAGUGUGCUACUGUAGUGUAGCACUAAUAGGGAUUAUUCUUGUUGCUUAAGUGAUGUCCCGUACUUGGCUACCAAAAAUAACAAUGGACAAUAAUAAUGAUAAUGUUUUUUUAUGCAAUGUGACUAAGUGGUAUUGCCCUAAAGCAUGAUGAUUUGUACAGUAAAUGCAUUUUGGUUUAUUUGUCCGGCAGCAACUGUAAAACACAUAUCCGGGGAGAUGUUACCAUUCAGAGGUGUGGCGGAGGAUUACUUUCCUCUAUUCGAAUCAUGUAAAAUGCAUGGUUAAGUUUGUUCUGUGUUCCUGGAUGGACAAUACCCAUGUCUUGAUGCAUCUGUUAAUGGUGUGUUUCUAGCCUGUGCGAGCUGUCCAUUGGACUUUUUUAUAAUAGUGCUGGUGUGGACUUUGGGCUCUGUUCAGGCCAACCUGUGGAAGUUCAGCGUUACAGCAUGACUGAAAUGCAAAAGCAGUAAUCAAGUGUUAGCCAAGCCUGCACCUACGGUUUUGCCGACACAGUCUGAGAUUACUGUUAAUUUUAACAUUCAGUCCAUUGGGCUUCAGCAACGCUGGUUGAAUACGGCUCUUUGUCUAAUCCGAGAUGUUAAUAUGUGAACUUUAUUGCUGUGCCUACUGUUUAGCAGUUAAACAAAACACAAAAUGUGUCACAAAUGUCACGCGUGCCUGUUUGUGCCGCAAAUGCUUUACAUUUUCUCCAGUAUGUUUUCCAUAGAACGAUUACACCUGAACUGUUUCCUCCCCAAUGCUUUUUAUUUGAGGAAUGAAAAGAAAAUAUAUAUAUAUUACUGUUCACUCUCUCUGUUGUCAGUGCUGCAGAGCAGAGAGAACUAAAACUCCACAGUAGAAUGUGAGUCCUGAUUCCACCCCAGUGAGAGUGCUGGCAGAUCUGAACUUCCACCCACAGAGACAAUCUGUUUCCCAUUGGUCACUGGAAGCACAGAGCCUGUUUUCUAUUGGCUGCUGGAAGGGCUGAGUGUGUCUCAAAUGGCACCUUGUCCCCUAUUCAGUCUACUACUUUUGACUAUGUUCCAUAGGUAUAUAGGCAAUAGGGGGCUUUUGGGGAGUCUUUUGAAACUGGGUCAGAUUAGACAUACCUGUGGCAUGGAUUUUCUGGGCGUUAAGAGACAUCCAAGCUCUUCACAUGACAAUGUCACACUAAACUGUUGAGUGGCGCUGAAUGCUGAACAUUUGAAAGGGACAAAAGGUCAAAUAACCCUGUAUUUCCUGCAGUCAAAAGCUCUGAAUAUGUAAAAUGACAAGUUCAUAUUUCAUAUUUGAGAGAUAAAGUCUACAGAAAACUUGUAAUGUUGCACUUAGUGAGUCUUACAGUUAUUAAGAUCAAGCAUUUUGUGAACUGACCGACAAACAUACCUUGGUACCAUCAUGGUAUCAGCUAAUGCAGAUCCAAAGAAACUAAGCAAAACAUCUGUGAAGUUAUUACCAGUGUGAUCAAAUACACUUUAUACAUAUUUAUAUGUUCAGAUAUCCAAUCAGAAAUUCUUUCUCAUUUCCGCAUGCUCACAUUUCCACUGUCAUUUUCGUCCAUUUAGAUGUCCAAUCACACUUUCUCUCUCAUUUCGGCAUUUUUAGAUAUCCAAUGACACACUUUAGUUUUGACAUUGAAUGUUUGAAGGUACAGAAUAUAUGAUAGAUUUAGAAAAUUAUUAUUAGUUGAAAAAUAACUAUAGCGCCAGAGAAACAUAAAAGUUUUCAUUCUGGCAUCGGACAGUUAACCAGUGGGGCUGCAUUGUGUGUGGUACAUGGGCCAACAAAGCGCCAGUGUUAUAAGGCAUCGUGUGGUAUAUGGGCUAACAAAACGCUGGUGUUAUAAGGCUUCGUGUGUGGUAUAUGGGCCAACAAAACGCCUGUGUUAUAAGGCAUCAUGUGGUAUUUGGGCCAACAAAACGCUGGUGUUAUAAGGCAUCGUGUGGUAUAUGGGCCAACAAAACGCCGGUGUUAUAAGGCAUUGUGUGUGGUAUUUGGGCCAACAAAACGCUGGUGUUAUAAGGCUUUGUGUGUGGUAUAUGGGCCAACAAAACGCCUGUGUUAUAAGGCAUCGUGUGUGGUAUAUGGGCCAACAAAACGCUGGUGUUAUAAGGCAUCGUGUGGUAUAUGGGCCAACAAAACGCCGGUGUUAUAAGGCAUUGUGUGUGGUAUUUGGGCCAACAAAACGCUGGUGUUAUAAGGCUUUGUGUGUGGUAUAUGGGCCAACAAAACGCCUGUGUUAUAAGGCAUCGUGUGUGGUAUAUGGGCCAACAAAACGCUGGUGUUAUAAGGCAUCGUGUGGUAUAUGGGCCAACAAAACGCCGGUGUUAUAAGGCAAGACACAACACGGAGGCACCUGAUGCCGGCCCUGGCCGUGGAAUAUUGGCCAUAUACUGCAAUAAACCGGUUACCAAUGCAAUUAGAGUAGUAGACAAUUUUUCUUGCCACACCUAUUGCAUACAUUCUCAUAUACCAUGCCUUUCAGACAGUCAGCAUUCAGGGUUCGAACCACCUGGUUUAAAUUUGGAGAUAUGCUGAAUGAUAGAUAGACCUCUGUUUACAUUAGGCCUGGGAUAGGUAUUUAAGGCUUAAAUAAAUAACAAGCACAUUAUCAUUACAUUCCUAAAGGCCCAGAUUCCAACCACAUCCAGGACCAGGAUUUAUAGCACUUCUGUGGUACUUUAGGAACUUAAGUGAAGCAGAGAACUGGAACGUCUGCAUUAUUAGUUUGAAGGUCACACAAUUCAUCUGUGGUUUUGUAGCCAUACUCCUCUAUCUGUGCAUACCUUCGAGUCUGAUAAUUACAGACAGUGGUUGUUGUGGUCUCAGUAAUUGGCUUGCCAACCGUAUUUUACUUGUUUCAAAAGGAUAUUCCAUUAACCAUUCCAAUACGGAUUUCAGGAAGGGUUUGGAAAUCUGUGUUGAAGUUUACUGUAAUUUUGCAAGCCCAUUUUGUUUUCACUUUUACUGUAUAUUAUUUAACGUCUUAUUUUAUGUACAUUAACAUUUAACUGCUACAAUUUUACUUUGGUACUGAAUAUACAUUUGAGCAUACUUUCUAUAAACCUUUUUUCCAUUUUUGUUGCGAUGUAUUAUUUGUUAUGUGUAACAAUUUAGAAAGGAUUCUGAACGCUAUCGACCAGCAUGACAUUCACCACUCAGUCUCGCCUCAUGGGCUUCGCUCCUUCAAGUUUUCACAUUUCUAUUGAUGUAAAACUCAUGCUUUUCCUCAGGUGUCUUCUGAAUGUUUGGCAAUUGAUUUCACUUUUUAUCAUAUUUUCUUAGAUGCAAUGAAAAGGUAUUCUUCUGCUUUAAAAAUAUAUAUUUUCGCACUCUUGCAUUUGCAUGACAAUUACUCACCAACACUCAUGAAAUGAUUAAGCACCUUAAAUUGAAAAGCAUGAAUGUUAAUUUAUUGUAAGGCACACAUACCAGAGUUGAUAUUAUUGUGAGUAUCAGAAAAAAUCAGUACACCCAUGUACAACUAGAAAUAUAUUUAUAUUUUUUAUUUUAAACAUACCACUGUUGCUAUUGUCAUAAUAAAAUGUCAGAAUAUAACAUAUCAGUUAAGAACUUUUUUGCUAAAUGUUUGUUUGUUUCCUCAUAUAAGUUCAGGCAAUUGAGAAGGGUUUGGUUUUGAGCUGGCAGUUCAAGCUCUGAAAACAUCUCUUCAAUGUAAUGUCACUGGAAAUCUAUGCAUGUUGUAAACUCGACUACAGCCUCUCUGUUGAACAGUUUUUGGAGCUGGUAUGAAUUUAUUAUUAGUGCACUUUUGGUGUUGAGUAUGCAUGACUAACGCCAGCUACUUCAACUAGAGCUUACCUGUGUUGUCAAUGAUAGUGUAUUUGAAAAACAAUGUGUCUGUUCUGUCACAAAGAAUAUACUUUUCUUAUUUCAUCAUGAUUGAUCACACAGUUCAUGUCUCUCGUCAAGAAAGCCAUUGCUUGAUUGAAUCCCUGGUUGAUAUACAAGGCUGAUUAUACUUUCCUCCAAAGUAUUUAGGCAUUUGUGAUUGAGAGAAUCUCGCAUUGUGUUUUUUAUGUCAUAGCCACAGAGGUGUUUCACAAACACUGGGACCUGGACUGGUAGUGGUGCAGACACAGGAAACCUUGAAGCUAAAGAUUCGACUCUGGCUGCAAAAUAUAAUAUUGUUUUGUUUAUCUAUAUGAAAAAUAUAAUUAUAUUAUAAUAUAUAUUAUUCUUGCAAUGUUUGAUGAGGACACACGGUAAAACUAGUCAGAGUGCCUGUCUGUUCUAUAAUGUGAUCUCCUUUGUUAAACAUUGGCAUGGCAAAUCCAUAGUGAUUUGGAAAGGCAGUCAAAACUGGCGCCAAGGCCAUAGUAGACCAUAUUUUUAUAAUCUAUACAAGUCAUCAGUUGCUCUAACAUGAGGUGUAUCAAUACUGAACAUUGUUUUCACCUUAUCACUGUUUUAAAUAUGGAAACGUACCCAAAUAUGUAAUAAGGAGCAAACGAAAUAUCAUGUGACGUAAUUAAGGAUUUUGAUUUCAGUUCUUCUGUAAUAAAUCAUGGAUUUCAUCUUUGA